CUCUUAUCAAGAGCGGUGGAGGGACUGGCCCUGUGAAGCCGCGGCAACCGGCAGCAAUGCGUCUGGUGCCAAAUCCAGCAGAAUCUUCGGAUUCUGGAAGAUGAGAG
rnacentral:ncRNA from 20 species